rnacentral:rRNA from 1 species
CCCUUAGAUGUUCUGGGCCGCACGCGCGCUACACUGAUGCAUUCAACGAGUUUCUUCCUGGUCCGAGAGGAAUGGGUAACCUUUUGAAAGUGCAUCGUGAUAGGGAUAGACUAUUGCAAUUAUUGGUCUUCAACGAGGAAUUCCUAGUAGACGUAGUUCAUCAGACUGCAUCGAUUACGUCCCUGCCCUUUGUACACGCCGCCCGUCGCUCCUACCGAUUGAAUGCUCAGGUGAGCCAUUCGGACUUUCAUCAUGCUGGUUUCCAGUUUUGAUGAAGGAAAGUCUUGCGAACCUUAUCAUUUAGAGGAAGGAGAAGUCGUAACA